rnacentral:rRNA from 1 species
UUCAGAGGUCUCAAGCGUUGUUCGGAUUCAUUGGGCGUAAAGGGUGCGUAGGUGGCGCCGUAAGUCGGGUGUGAAAUUUCGGAGCUUAACUCCGAAACUGCAUUCGAUACUGCGGUGCUUGAGGACUGGAGAGGAGACUGGAAUUUAUGGUGUAGCAGUGAAAUGCGUAGAGAUCAUAAGGAAGACCAGUGGCGAAGGCGGGUCUCUGGACAGUUCCUGACACUGAGGCACGAAGGCCAGGGGAGCAAACGGG